rnacentral:rRNA from 1 species
UACGGGGGGGGCAAGCGUUGUUCGGAAUUACUGGGCGUAAAGGGCGCGUAGGCGGUUCGCUAAGUUGGAUGUGAAAACUCUGGGCUCAACCCAGAGCCUGCAUCCAAAACUGGCGGGCUAGAGUUCUGGAGGGGGUAGCGGAAUUCCUGGUGUAGCGGUGAAAUGCGCAGAUAUCGGGAGGAACACCGGUGGCGAAGGCGGUUCUCUGGGCCUGUACUGACGCUGAGGAGCGAAAGCGCGGGGAGCGAACAGG